rnacentral:rRNA from 1 species
UACGUAGGGGGCUAGCGUUGUCCGGAUUUAUUGGGCGUAAAGAGCGUGUAGGCGGCCAGGUAGGUCGGUUGUGAAAACUGGAGGCUCAACCUUCAGAGGUCGACCGAAACCAUCUGGCUAGAGUCCGGGAGAGGAGAGUGGAAUUCCUGGUGUAGCGGUGAAAUGCGCAGAUAUCAGGAGGAACACCGGUGGCGAAGGCGGUUCUCUGGGCAUGAUCUGACGCUGAGGAGCGAAAGUGUGGGGAGCGAACAGG